ensembl:snRNA U6 U6 spliceosomal RNA
GUACUCACUUUGGCAGCACAUAUUCUAAAAUUGGAACGAUACAGAGGAUUAGCAUGGCCCCUGCACAAGAAUGUCAUGAAAAUUUGUGAAGCAUUCCAUAUUUAA